UAGGGAAUCUUCCACAAUGGACGAAAGUCUGAUGGAGCAGCGCCGCGUGAGUGAAGAAGGGUUUCGGCUCGUAAAACUCUGUUGUUAAAGAAGAACAUAUCUGAGAGUAACUGUUCAGGUAUUGACGGUAUUUAACCAGAAAGCCACGGCUAACUACGUGCCAG
rnacentral:rRNA from 1 species